AAGUACUCCCUCUAUCCCAUAAAAAACCAACCUAGUACCGGAUGUGACACAUCCUAAUACUACGAAUCUGAACACAGGUAUGUCUAGAUUUGUAGUUCUAAGAUGUGUCACAUCUGGUACUAGGUUGUUUUCUUAUGGGACGGAGGGAGU
rnacentral:misc_RNA from 1 species